rnacentral:rRNA from 1 species
CCUACGGGUGGCAGCAGUGGGGAAUAUUGCACAAUGGGCGCAAGCCUGAUGCAGCCAUGCCGCGUGUGUGAAGAAGGCCUUCGGGUUGUAAAGCACUUUCAGCGGGGAGGAAGGCGUUAAGGUUAAUAACCUUGGCGAUUGACGUUACCCGCAGAAGAAGCACCGGCUAACUCCGUGCCAGCAGCCGCGGUAAUACGGAGGGUGCAAGCGUUAAUCGGAAUUACUGGGCGUAAAGCGCACGCAGGCGGUCUGUCAAGUCGGAUGUGAAAUCCCCGGGCUCAACCUGGGAACUGCAUUCGAAACUGGCAGGCUAGAAUCUUGUAGAGGGGGGUAGAAUGCCAGGUGUAGCGGUGAAAUGCGUAGAGAUCUGGAGGAAUACCGGUGGCGAAGGCGGCCCCCUGGACAAAGACUGACGCUCAGGUGCGAAAGCGUGGGGAGCAAACAGGAUUAGAUACCCGGGUAGUC